rnacentral:rRNA from 1 species
UACGGAGGGUGCAAGCGUUAUCCGGAUUCACUGGGUUUAAAGGGUGCGUAGGUGGGUCUGUAAGUCCGUGGUGAAAUCUCCGAGCUUAACUUGGAAACUGCCAUGGAUACUAUAGGUCUUGAAUACUGUGGAGGUCAGCGGAAUAUGUCAUGUAGCGGUGAAAUGCUUAGAUAUGACAUAGAACACCAAUGGCGAAGGCAGCUGGCUACACAAAUAUUGACACUGAGGCACGAAAGCGUGGGGAUCAAACAGG